ACUCCUACGGGAGGCAGCAGUGGGGAAUAUUGCACAAUGGGCGCAAGCCUGAUGCAGCCAUGCCGCGUGUAUGAAGAAGGCCUUCGGGUUGUAAAGUACUUUCAGCAGUGAGGAAGGCAGGUACGUUAAUAGCGUGCUUGUUUGACGUUAGCUGCAGAAGAAGCACCGGCUAACUCCGUGCCAGCAGCCGCGGUAAUACGGAGGGUGCGAGCGUUAAUCGGAAUUACUGGGCGUAAAGCGCAUGCAGGUGGUUUGUUAAGUCAGAUGUGAAAGCCCGGGGCUCAACCUCGGAAUUGCAUUUGAAACUGGCAGACUAGAGUACUGUAGAGGGGGGUAGAAUUUCAGGUGUAGCGGUGAAAUGCGUAGAGAUCUGAAGGAAUACCGGUGGCGAAGGCGGCCCCCUGGACAGAUACUGACACUCAGAUGCGAAAGCGUGGGGAGCAAACAGGAUUAGAUACCCUGGUAGGAUAG
rnacentral:rRNA from 1 species